UGGGGAAUAUUGGACAAUGGGCGCAAGCCUGAUCCAGCCAUGCCGCGUGAGUGAUGAAGGCCCUAGGGUUGUAAAGCUCUUUCACCGGUGAAGAUAAUGACGGUAACCGGAGAAGAAGCCCCGGCUAACUUCGUGCCAGCAGCCGCGGUAAUACGAAGGGGGCUAGCGUUGUUCGGAUUUACUGGGCGUAAAGCGCACGUAGGCGGACUAUUAAGUCAGGGGUGAAAUCCCGGGGCUCAACCCCGGAACUGCCUUUGAUACUGGUAGUCUUGAGUUCGAGAGAGGUGAGUGGAAUUCCGAGUGUAGAGGUGAAAGUCGGAGAUAUUCGGAGGAACACCAGUGGCGAAGGCGGCUCACUGGCUCGAUACUGACGCUGAGGUGCGAAAGCGUGGGGAGCAAACAGG
rnacentral:rRNA from 1 species